UUGACAAGUGGGAAGAUCGUCGUAAUAGAUAAACUUGAGAAUUUGUAGUAUUUCCGGAAUCCGGUCGUCGCCACCACUAUUGUUCGACAUCACUAUCGUUGCUGUGAUAACUAUCAGAAGAGGAACUACACCACAAUCAAUGAUGAUCUCAUGUUCAAUUGAUCCAGUAAUAAAAUCAAACAAGGCCCUCGAUUCCCUUGGAUUAAUCCCCUGCAACUUCAAAACAUGUCCUGCAACUUCAAAACUAAGAACCAUGCUUUUCCCAUCCAAAAUCAACACCGGA
rnacentral:lncRNA from 1 species